ensembl:lncRNA
CGCAGAGCUCAGCCCAGCCCUGAGGGUCUCUCCACCAGGCAGAGGAGGAGGAAUGUGUGUCAUGCUGGAUGGAAAGGGAUUUUUUGGGACUCUGGUGAGACCUCCUGGAUGUGAUCCCAGGGAAGGGAUGACUCGGAGGUGGCUCCACAGGCAUUUCCCUGUGGAUCCCUCAUAGAAGGAAACUGUAAACAAUAAAUCCUGGAAAUUGUUCCACUCUCCCUGCACAUCCCAAAGGCAUCUGGAAAGGCGCCCAGCCCGGGGGAGGACGGUGCAGGCCAUGACACGCUCUGCAGGGACAGGGAUUUGGUGGAAGUGACGCAGAGUUUGGCCCAGCCUGGCCGGAUUCGUGUCACUCCAGGAGUGGCCUUGAUCCCUGUCCUGCCAGAGCCCAGCCUGGAGCUGUGCUGCCUCAGGUCCUCCUCAUGCUGCUCUUCCCAGGGCAGGGGGCUCCCAGAGGAAGGGAUUAUUCAUUUCCAGGAAUGUUUGAAGCAGAGGGAGCUCCUGGACUGCUGCGUCACUGGGGCUGGAGCCGCUGGAGCUGUUUCCAUGAGCGCAGAUUCGGUGAGACACAUGGCGAGUUUUUUAAAGACAAUACUGGAGCCGCCAGAGGAGGAGGCAUUUGACCACUUGGCAUGGAUGAAGAAGACUUGUAUCAACAUCUCCGGGGGCCUGAGCUCAGAUGGUAUCGCUGCUCACACAUGCAGUGUGAUUCAGGAAAGGCACAGCAGGGACAGGAAUCACGGAGAGCCGCUGAAGUGAACGCCUGUGAUGGCCCUGAAGUGCUGCCGGGGAGGAAAUGUUCUUCCUUCGCAAGCACAGGGAUUCAGCUUUUGGAGCAGGAUCAGAAUCAAUCGCUCCCUUCAGUCAGGAUUUCCUCGGCAGUGGAAGCUGCAGCUCCCAGCCGGGAUGCCGAGUGUGUUAGUCAUUCCCUGGGGUCAGAUGGAGCAGCGAUAACUCCGGGAAGCGGAUAACGCCCUGCUCCGAGCCAGCACAGCCCGCCUGGGAGCGGCCCUGGGCUCCUCCUGCCAUGGGAUGCUUGAUCCCUGCUCCAGGAGUGACAACAGCGUGAGAGCUUCGCUGAUUAUUCCACAACAAACUUGUGUUCGCCUUAAAAAAACAGCAGCAGCAGCAGCAGCGCCUUCCCAAAAACCUUCCAAGGAGGAAAACAACUUUCUGUUUCUAAUAAGGGCCUCCAGCACCAGCUGAGAAGGCUUUAUUUUCAUUUUUCUUCUCCACAAAAGUUUCCAUUGUGUCCAAAAGCCAUUUUCUGUCAGAAGGGGUUUGGGUGGAAAAUAUUUUACUAAAUCUGUUUGCAACCGAUUCAAAGCUGUGCCAAGAAAGAGGGAAGGAGUGAAGGCCCUGAAGCUGCUCCUUGGCACAUUAAAGGGAAUAUCCCAGACAUCCAGGGCCUCUGGAGGGUGUUUGGGUGGUCCUGGUGGAGCUGGGCUCAUCCCAGCCUCCGGUAAAUGUUAAACCAACAAAUAAAUCUGCUUCGCUCAGCAGCCAGGGCUGAGCCUUCGAGCUGGGGUGAAGCUUUUAAAUAUCAUCAGCGUAUUUUCUUUAAAGGAAGGAAGGAUCUUAAUUCCAGCAUUCCAACCCAAAAUAGACAUCCCUAAGAAUAGCCCUUCCCCGUGGCAGGGCAGGACGCUGCCAGGAGGAAAAGGGGCUGGGGAAACCAGGAGUGCUUUCCCUGGACAGGCUGGGAUGGGGAAGGGAUGGGUUUAGCUUUGUGGGGAUUGGGAAGGGAUGGGUUUAGCUUUGUCUGGGCAGUUGGGAAGGGAUGGGCUUAGCUUUGGCUGUG